rnacentral:rRNA from 1 species
GCGAAUGCUGACAUAAGUAACGAUAAAGCGGGUGAAAAGCCCGCUCGCCGGAAGACCAAGGGUUCCUGUCCAACGUUAAUCGGGGCAGGGUGAGUCGACCCCUAAGGCGAGGCCGAAAGGCGUAGUCGAUGGGAAACAGGUUAAUAUUCCUGUACUUGGUGUUACUGCGAAGGGGGGACGGAGAAGGCUAUGUUGGCCGGGCGGCGGUUGUCCCGGUUUAAGCGUGUAGGCUGGUUUUCCAGGCAAAUCCGGAAAAUCAAGGCUGAGGCGUGAUGACGAGGCACUACGGUGCUGAAGCAACAAAUGCCCUGCUUCCAGGAAAAGCCUCUAAGCAUCAGGUAACAUCAAAUCGUACCCCAAACCGACACAGGUGGUCAGGUAGAGAAUACCAAGGCGCUUGAGAGAACUCGGGUGAAGGAACUAGGCAAAAUGGUGCCGUAACUUCGGGAGAAGGCACGCUGAUAUG